GUUUGUUAUUGACAAAAUUUUAUGGAAAAAUUAUAAGGGGCACUAAAAUGUCUGAAACAUGGAAAGAUUGAUGCACUAUAUUUGAACCAGAACGUGUUAUGUAAUAUAUUAAUUUAAGAGAAACUGAUUCAGCAAGGAACGUGAACUUUCAAGGGAUCUUAAUUUUUUUUAAAUAUGUUUAUAAUUUAUAAAUUAAUAAUUGAAAUAGUUCAUAAGAACUAAAUUGAUGCCAAUUUUGUUUUAAAAUAGGUUGUUUAGUUCUUAUAGUUAUAGUAUUACGUUUGAAUAGUUGUAAUUAGUAAGUUAGUAAUAUAUGAAAAUACUGAUAUAAAUUUUUGUAAAUAACCUUUUGUAAAUUCUACGAGAAGAUGAUUUUAAUUAUUGAUGAAAAGUCAACGGUCUUCAAAAGCAUUAUUUGCAAUUGUUUAGAUUAACCGUGGAAUAUAUUUGCUAAGUUGUGUUUUCUGUAUGAGCAGAUAUAAAUGAAAAUGCCCAAACAUGAUUAUGUUUCUUACAUUUUCAUUAUGUGAAAUCAAUAUGCUUGUGACUGAGUAUAUUAAUAAUUUAUUAAAACUUCAGUGAUAGACAGCAACCCUUAUGGCACUGCUGAAGUUUAUAAGCACUGGUGACCACUUAUCAUGAGCCGGGUUGCAUGCUCGUCUGCUGUUGAGUGCAAUAAAAAUUUUCGAAACCCUUUCUAUUAUUUAGAUGUAAUAUUAAUGUACAUUUAAUUUGGAUUAAAAGAUAAAUUUACAUUUUAUGUUUGCAUGUGUAUGUUUAUAAUUCAUUUGCAUGUAACGAACAUCAGUUUCUUUUGUAACAAAAUGCAAACUAAUGGUUUGUAAUGAAUGUAAUUAACUUUAAGAUGAUUUUCUUUCAAUCUGCUGUUUGUUUCAUCUAGUAUUACCAAAGCUAAAGCAUCAGAAACGUCAGAAUAGAAAUAAUUUAGAUAGGGAAUAAAAGUAUAACUAAUGUAAUCAUGUCUAAAAUUACUAUAAGCGUCGUUAAGUACAAACUAUCAAUAUUUAAGAGUACUUUAAAUCAUCAUUACAUUUUUUAAACAUUUUUUGUUUUUUUUUUGUUUGUCAAAUCAUGUAACAAAACGUUUGUGCAGAACAAAAUGUCACAUGUUAUGAACAUGAUUGUGGGUUAAUCGUUUCUUAAAUUUCUAAAUAUUUAUAAGAAUGCUAAGAUUAAUUUAGUAUUCACUUUAGUGUGUGUAUUAUCUCUACAAUGCUAGUUUAAAUGACAAUUAUUGUAUGACGAAGCAUAGGUAGUGUUUAUAGAUGUAAUAUUUUCAUACAAUCUGUCACGAUCAACUUUAAGCAAGAACUGCUAUCGUUAAGAAACAAAUUUAUUAAAUUUAAUUCAAAUUGUCUACUAUGUUUGUAAUGGAAAGCUGACAUGUUUAUAUUUCGCACAAAUGACUUAAUUGACAUUGAAUGAUUUGAUUAUCUAGACUUAAUUAACUUUUAGAUAACUUUCGAUUUAAUGUGUACGCUAGUAGGAUUAAUCUAGAGGAGUUAUUGUUAUUCGAAAUUUUAUACAAUUGUACGUUCAUACAAUCUUUUAACAGAAAAUUGUUUGUAAUAUAGGGAAAUUAAAUAGCUUACAGAGAA